rnacentral:rRNA from 1 species
UAAUACAGGGGGGCAAGCGUUGUUCGGAAUUACUGGGCGUAAAGGGCUCGUAGGCGGCCAACUAAGUCACACGUGAAAUCCCCAGGCUUAACCUGGGAACUGCGUGUGAUACUGGAUGGCUUGAAUUCGGGAGAGGGAUGCAGAAUUCCAGGUGUAGCGGUGAAAUGCGUAGAUAUCUGGAGGAAUACCGGUGGCGAAGGCGGCAUCCUGGACCGACAUUGACGCUGAGGAGCGAAAGCUAGGGGAGCAAACGG